UGCUGGGGGAGGGUCCAGCCCAUUGUGGGUGGUGCCAUCUCUGGGCUGGUGGUCCUGGGUUCUAUAAGAGAGCAGGCUGAGCCAACCACAGCGGGCAGCCAGUACACAGCGCCCUCCGUGGCCUCCGCCUCCAGAUUCUUGCCCUGCUCAAGUUCCUGCGCUUGCUGCUGUUGACGAUGAACUGGUAUAUGGAACUUCUGAAGACGCAUAACACAUACUGUUCCCUGCCAUGACCUGCUGUCAACAGCCUGUUCAGAAGGAGAAAUGCCGGACCUACACCUUAGAAUGUCACCCAGAGUGGCUUUACCAAAGCUGAGGUUCCCUGGUGUCAUCCUAGAGGCUGCUUUUGGAAAGGAAGCUAGCUCACCUGAAGCAGGAUGGCAGGACAAUCAUGGCCUCUCCUGGGGAUUAAACUAUGCAGCACAUUGAAUAAAUACCACCUUGUUAAGCUGAAUGCAUUUUAACACAUCCGAAUUUGUGUAAUGAGUACUCAAAUCAGGAUAAAUCUCUUUGGGAACA